rnacentral:rRNA from 1 species
UAUCCGGGAGACACACGGCGGGUGCUAACGUCCGUCGUGGAGAGGGAAACAACCCAGACCGCCAGCUAAGGUCCCAAAGUAUAGCUAAGUGGGAAACGAUGUGGGAAGGCUCAGACAGCCAGGAUGUUGGCUUAGAAGCAGCCAUCAUUUAAAGAAAGCGUAAUAGCUCACUGGUCGAGUCGGCCUGCGCGGAAGAUGUAACGGGGCUAAGCUAUACACCGAAGCUGCGGCAUCAUAGUUUACUAUGAUGGGUAGGGGAGCGUUCUGUAAGCCGUUGAAGGUGAACUGAGAAGUUUGCUGGAGGUAUCAGAAGUGCGAAUGCUGACAUGAGUAACGAUAAAGGGAGUGAAAAACUCCCUCGCCGGAAGACCAAGGGUUCCUGUCCAACGUUAAUCGGGGCAGGGUAAGUCGACCCCUAAGGCGAGGCUGAAAAGCGUAGUCGAUGGGAAACGGGUUAAUAUUCCCGUACUUCUUACAAAUGCGAUGGGGGGACGGAGAAGGCUAGGUGGGCCUGGCGAUGGUUGUCCAGGUUCAAGUGCGUAGGCUAAUUUCUUAGGUAAAUCCGGGAAAUUGUUAGGCUGAGACACGACGUCGAGCUACUACGGUAGUGAAGUCAUUGAUGCCAUGCUUCCAGGAAAAGCCUCUAAGCUUCAGUUUGUAAG